UUAGUCUAGUGUAUGGAUCCAUGUGCUCUCUUUCAAUAUUUUCCUAUCAUAAGUGCCUUUUAAGAUUGAAUUCUGACAUAGCUAAAGCCGUCCACCAGUGUUCCAACAGUCCUAGUUCGUCCUUAGCAAGACCUUGGGUUUGGAAUUCAGUACUGCCCCUGGUAUUACACUAUCUCUUUGAGUAAAAGUUAGGUCACUGCCCUUCACAGGAAUCUACCAUCACCUAGGAAGAAAGAAAUUUCUGACCGUAGGGGAAACCAGAAUAGAUGCUUAGAAUUAUAACUGAGUUACACCUAUGUACAGGAAUUUACUAUGGUUUAGGAAGCAGAUCGGGCUGUGGUUUUAGAGUAUUGCAUUAUUCAUGAGAUGGUUAGCUAGAACGAAACUCCCUAGUUAGAACCAUGACUUGGGUGUGAAAGUCCUUGCCCUAGGAGUGAAAAGUUCUCACACCUGGCUUCUAAGACUAUAGCUGACCUUAGAUAGGGCUGACUCUGUCUCAGUUAUUUUAUUGCCCAGUUCCUGCCAGUCUUUGCGUUUUCAUUUCCUCUGUUCUGUGUAAGAGUCAUUAAGUAUCCGGUUACCUCAUUUGUACCUUGUGGGUAUGUCACACGACUUUUUUAUUGUCUUCUGUAUAAAAGUCUGAAGCUCGAAUUGUAAAUUACAUUCAGAUUCUACACACAACCUCUCCUGUGUGCAUCUGUCUGUCAUUCAUCCACGCUUUGCCCACCCGCGUCGAGAGACCCUGUUCCACGCAGACACAGGAACCCAGAAGGUCUGCGGUACAGGAAGAAAAUUGACAACGUCAAUACUAAUAUAUUUUAUUUUUCCUCCUUCUGUCCCUCUAGAACAGUCAUUCUCGCCCUGUGUCUCAUGAACUUUUGGUUGUCACAUAUCAGAUAUUUACAUUAUGAUUCAUAACAGUAGCAAAAUGUAGUUAUAAAGUAGCGAUGAAACAUUUUAUGGUUGGGGGUCACCACAGAUGAAGAACUGUAUUAAAGGGUCAUAACAUUAGGAAGGUUGAGAACCACUGCUCCUGAGGUGGCUAACAGGACCUCUCAGUCUCCUGUUCCACAGAUUGUCCUUCUGUCUCUGGAGAGUUGAGGUCUGCAGUGAGAAUUCUGUAGAGCUGAGACAUUGGCCUAUUGAACUUGUGGCUCUCUAGCUCAUUGGUCUGUGCCCUUUCCUCAACUUUUAGCAGCAAGAUUCCAGCCACUAAGCCUGGCAAUAACUCACAGGACAUAGCAGCCAUGCUGAAGGGGGCUCCGUUCCUAUCCAUGGAACAGAAAACUUCUGGUCACAAGGAGUGCGGGCCUUUCUUCUUUUCCCAAAGGAGGGCUCAGUUUACAUAUUCAUGGCAGCAAACUCACAGUCUGACAGCACUAAACAUUGGUGGGAAUGUGAAGUGUGAACCUCUCCUACUUUACUGCUUCAAAUAAAUAGUUUAACAAUAAUGGACAACUGAAUUUUUGACUUUCUUACAAAGUUCAAUAGAGAUUUACUUUAUAGCCCCUAAAUUUUACUCUUAUGAAUUUAUUUGAGAUAAACACAGUCACAUAUACAUGAAAAGUUGUACAAGAUUGUAAGAUGUCUGUAUUCAUGGUUUACCAAACAGGCGAACCAUACAGGUGACCGUCCAAAGACAAACUAGACCAAUGGAUUUAGAAUGUAGUGACAAAAACUUGGUAAGUUACUCAUCUGUGAAGCAGUACAGAGCAAUGAUAAAAGCAUUAGUAUAGAGAAAAAUAAACCACAUAUGAAAGAAUACCUGCUUGUAUGAUUUCAUUUCAUGAUCAGAUUUUCAAAUAAUAUGCACUAAGAAAUAUUGGAACAGCAACUUCCUGUAAGAAUGAAGACCGAUUGGAAGGGGAGCUGAGAGAACUUUCUUGGGUGAUAGAAAGAUGUUAGAUGUAGAUUUUUGUGUGAGUGAAUGGAGAGUCAAUACUCAUCAAAUGGUACACUUAAGAUAUGUGCAUGUCUCUGGUCAGUUUUGUCACCAUCACGAUGGGAUUUUGGCAAUAAACUCAUAAAUGAGCUGAAAAUUUUCAGUCUAGUUUUUAGAAAUAUUUUUAGAAGAUACUGUGGUGGUUUGAAUGAAAAUGGCACCCAUAGGCUCAUAUGUUUGAAUGCUCAGUCCCCACUUGGUAGAACUGUUUGGGAAGGAUUAGGAGGUGUGGCCUCAUUGAAGGAGAUGUGUUACUGGGAGUGGGCUUUAAGGUUUCAAAAGUCAAUACCAUUCCCAGCUCUCUCUCUCUCUCUCUCUCUCUCUCUCUCUCCCUCUCUCUCUCUCUCUCUCUCUCUGCCUUGCACUUGAGGAUUGAAUGUAAAUGCUCACCUAUUGUUCAAGCACUGUGCCUGUUUCCAUGUUCUCUUCCAUGAUGGUCAUGGACUCUAACCAUGUGGGCCUGUGAAAGUAGAGAGUUAAAAGUUCCAGCACCACACCCAAAGGAAGAGCUUACACAAGGGAGUAAACACCAAAGACAGAGAGAAGAGUGUGUAUGUGUGUGUACACAUGCGCAUGUGCAAACCUGUUAUUACUUGGGAGGAACAAUACAUCAACUCUAUUAUAAAUCUUGUAUACUUAGUGGUCUCUUUAAUUUUAAAAAGUCCCUGUGCUAUUUCUAUACAUUUUUACAUUUUCUUGUAACUUAUCUGAUUCGGGUAGGCUUUCAAGUUAAUUAAAAUAGUGAUUCAUAACCUGAAAAUUUACAAUUUCAUACUGGCAGUUAUUUUCCCUUUUCAUUAUAUAUUUGUAUAUUUGCACCAUUUCUCUAUUCUAGCUCUCUCUCUUUCCCUAACAUUUACCUGAACUGACUUGUGAUGUUGUUAAUCUUCUUCAGCAGUUUCUGUUUUGUUUUCUUUUAUGAACUUUCUUUAUGUUUCUUCAGUUGCUAUUUUUGCAGUCUUGAGCUGAUGAGUUGAAGGAUAAAAUCACAUGCACACAAACAGAGACAGACAGACAUAUAUACACAUAUAUGGAGAGAGAGUCUUAGACAGACAGACAUAUGUACACAUAUAUGGAGAGAGAGUCUUGUAUUCUUAUUUGGCAUUAUUUAUGAUUCCAAAAUUGAGCAGCCAUUUACCUUAAAAGGGGGGAUGUCUCUUCUUUCCCCUGCCUCAAGCCCACGUGUGCAGGCCAUAUUUAUAUAUAAAGAAAAUGAAGUGACAUGUAGAAAAAGAAGUGAGGAACAAAGAAUCUGAAUGGAUAUAGCACACACCUGUCUUUAAAAUGGUUGACUACUGAAACGCUGCCUGUCAUUAUUCAGGUCCACGACAAUUCAUUCCCAUCUGCAGUUAGCCAUGCUUUGUUCUCUACAGACAAAUCUUUAGACAAAACUAACAUCUUCUGAUUUAUAAUAUUUUAAAAAUUUCCUGUUAGACCAUUUAAGACUAUUGUAUUUCCCACCAUUUCUUCUUUAGCUAUUCCACAUGGCUUGACAAGUAGUGUUUUCAUUAUUUUCCAUUAUACACAUUGAUGGAUUUAUUCUAGUUCCUCUUGAAACCAAGGUUCAUUUAGGAAAAGUUAAAAUAGACAAAGAGAAAGUUCAAAAGCUGCAGCUUCUUUCUAGUCCCUGCCCAAUGCCUGGCCUGCAGCUCUCCCUGUCUCAGCGCCGAUGAAAAGUCCUCCGCU
rnacentral:lncRNA from 1 species